CGGCAACAGCUCAAAUUUGAAAUCUGGCCUCUUCGGGGCCCGAGUUGUAAUUUGCAGAGGAUGCUUCGGCGUGGGCGCCGUCCAAAGUUCCUUGGAACAGGAUGUCAUAGAGGGUGAGAGCCCCGUAUCCGGGUGGAUGCCCCCGCCAUGUGAAGCUCCUUCGAC
rnacentral:rRNA from 1 species